UCCAGACUCCUACGGGAGGCAGCAGUGGGGGAUAUUGCACAAUGGGGGGAACCCUGAUGCAGCGACGCCGCGUGGGUGAAGGAGCGUUUCGGCGCGUAAAGCCCUCUCGGCAGGGAAGAAGGAGGACGGUACCUGACUAAGAAGCCCCGGAUAACUACGUGCCAGCAGCCGCGGUAAUACGUAGGGGGCAAGCGUUAUCCGGAUUUACUGGGUGUAAAGGGGGCGCAGACGGCAGCGCAAGCCAGGAGUGAAAGCCCGGGGCCCAACCCCGGGACUGCUCUUGGAACUGCGCGGCUGGAGUGCAGGAGGGGCAGGCGGAAUUCCUGGUGUAGCGGUGAAAUGCGUAGAUAUCAGGAGGAACACCGGUGGCGAAGGCGGCCUGCUGGACUGCGACUGACGUUGAGGCCCGAAAGCGUGGGGAGCAAACAGGAUUAGAUACCCUAGUA
rnacentral:rRNA from 1 species